CUGACUCUCUUCCUUCAUACUUCUCCUUGUAUGAGGGUGAGCAACAGUAUGCUAGUGAUCACUUAUGGAGGUGAUGGGAUGAAUAUUUAAGUCCUAGAAGGGAGCAAAUCAAGAAUAUUUUUGGUCUGAAGUUUGUGAGAUAACUAUACGAUCUUUGCCCAUUACCCCCUCUAGUGAAGUCACUGGAGACUGAAGAAGUUGCCACAAAAGAGAUUGGCACCCAAAGAAAGUUAAAGCAAAAAACACAAAGCUACAGUCAACCAACUCAAAAAUCUCAAGACUAUUUUGUGUUCAUCCACGUUUAACACUUGAUCAAGAUGCAAGUAACGCGGAGAGAGGCUGAAAUGGACGAAUUGGCUUUAACCAUCCAAGAAAUUGAUGAUCAAAUUCAAUCAAAACGGAUUGAGAAAUCCAGUACACUUGAAACUGUGCAGAAGAGAAAAGCUGAGCUGACCUCUAAGCUAGCAAAUACUGCCAACUCAAUUCCAACCCUUGUUCACGAGAUUCAGCUUCUAUUAUCUCAAAUAUCAAAAUGGGAGCAGGAGAAAGCCAGCAAUGCCAAGCGUGUAGCUGAGAUAGAAGAAAAGUUAAUCACUUUAAGAGGGUUAACAUUUUAAUCAAACAGUUCUAGAGGUUAUUAUCAUUUUGAUAGAAACAUAGCUAGUUGCGGCAGUGAUUUACGUGUUAUCUAUAUUUCUAACCAAUGGGUUUACAUCUAUAUAAUGUGGCUUUUAGACUUGGUGACAAUCCCUGUAGUUGUGGCUCUAGACCUCGUGACAAUCCUUGUAGUUGUGUUAUCAAGUCUUUAAUAUCUCUGAGUCAA